rnacentral:rRNA from 1 species
GAGUUACUAGUAAUCGCAGAUCAGAAUGCUGCGGUGAAUGCGUUCCCGGGUCUUGUACACACCGCCCGUCACACCACGGGAGUUGGAGACGCCCGAAGCCGAUUAUCUAACCUUUUGGAAGAAGUCGGCGAAGGUGGAAUCAAUAACUGGGGUGAAGUCGUAACAAGGUAGCCGUAUCGGAAGGUGCGGCUGGAUCACCUCCUUUCUAAGGAGA